UUUUAUAAAUAAAAUAAUUAAGAUUAUUUAAUUUAAUAAAAUUAAGAUUAUAUUAUUUAUUUUGUUGGGGUGACAGAAAAAUAUAUUUAACUUUUUUUUUAUUUAAAACAUUUAUAAGUGGUUAAAUGAUCCAAUAUUAUUGAUUAUAAGAAAAAAUUACCUUAGGGAUAACAGCGUAAUUUUUUUUUUUAGUUCAAAUAAGAAAAAGAGUUUGCGACCUCGAUGUUGGAUUAAGAUAAAAUUUAAAUGCAGAAG
rnacentral:rRNA from 1 species